GCCUGGGUGGCUCAGUCGGUUGAGCGUCCAACUUUGGCUCCGGUCAUGAUCUCUCAGUUUGUGGGUUCGAGCCCCACGUCAGGCU
rnacentral:tRNA from 1 species